AUCUUCGGAAAAUUAUUAAUACAUUCUCCGAUCAUAUAAAAACCGAUUAAAAAGAUCGAAAACCUAAUUUACAAACAUCGAUCUGUCAACCUUCAACGCCGGUGUCACACGAUCAGCUGACAAAUAAUUGAAACGUCAGUCUGUAAAUCGUAAUAUAAACAAGAUGAAAUUUAGGGAAAAAUCAACUAUAAUCAGGUAAAACCAAUUGAUUACACACAGGAAAAAUACAUAAUAAAAUCCUUAACCCAUAUGUAUAUUGCAGACCCAAUAUUCCCACUUGUUGCGUUGAAAACGGACAAAAGAUAAUCACAUCAAGUCUAUGUUCAAGAAUCCCCCGAAGAAAUAUGCCAAGAAAUCAUCCUAACACAAGCAUAAGUCUAAAUAAAGAAUUAGUAACCACUGUAGAAAGAAAGUUAUCGGAGACAACUCCAUCCAAAGAAAUUGUUGUGAUGAUGAGACUUAAUAGAUAAGAUAUUAUUAGAAAUUAUAUGUACAGUUAAGAAGUAAGCUAAUUAAACGCUAUUAUUCAAGGUAUUCAA